AACGCACCUUGCGCCCUUUGGUAUUCCGAAGGGCAUGCUUGUUUGAGUGUCGUGAAACUCUCAACCCCCUCGUUUUGUAAUGAAGCGCAGCGCGGGCUUGGAUAGUGGUCGUCUGUCGGUCUUCAACUGACCGGCUCGGCUGAAAUACAUCAGCGUACCUGUACUUCGGUAGCAGCAGCUUAUCUUAGCGUGAUAUUCAUUAUUCGCUCAGAUUACUGCAUCGCAUUAACCCGAGUCAGCGGCGCUCAUAGUGACAUUCUCGGUUGUUAACUCAAUCGAGCCAUCUUAACUCAAGACCUCAGAUCAGGCAGGACUACCCGCUGAACUUAA
rnacentral:misc_RNA from 1 species